UACGUAGGGCGCAAGCGUUGUCCGGAAUUAUUGGGCGUAAAGAGCUCGUAGGCGGUUUGUCGCGUCUGUCGUGAAAGCUUGGGGCUUAACCCCAAGUCUGCGGUGGAUACGGGCAGGCUAGAGUUCGGUAGGGGAGACUGGAAUUCCUGGUGUAGCGGUGAAAUGCGCAGAUAUCAGGAGGAACACCGGUGGCGAAGGCGGGUCUCUGGGCCGAUACUGACGCUGAGGAGCGAAAGCGUGGGGAGCGAACAGG
rnacentral:rRNA from 1 species